UACGAAGGGUGCAAGCGUUACUCGGAAUUACUGGGCGUAAAGCGUGCGUAGGUGGUGGUUUAAGUCCGUUGUGAAAGCCCUGGGCUCAACCUGGGAAUUGCAGUGGAUACUGGGUCACUAGAGUGUGGUAGAGGGUAGCGGAAUUCCCGGUGUAGCAGUGAAAUGCGUAGAGAUCGGGAGGAACAUCUGUGGCGAAGGCGGCUACCUGGACCAACACUGACACUGAGGCACGAAAGCGUGGGGAGCGAACAGG
rnacentral:rRNA from 1 species